rnacentral:rRNA from 1 species
UAUAUCUGACGUUGAGGCACGAAAAGCGUGGGGAGCAAACAGGCUUAGUACCCUGGUAGUCCACGCGGUAAACGAUGAUAGCUCGUUAUCGGCGAUACACAGUCGGUGCUUAGAGAAAUCGAUAAGCUAUCCACCUGGGGAGUACGUUCGCAAGAAUGAAACUCAAAGAAUUGACGGGGGCCCGCACAAGCGGAGGAACAUGUGGUUUAAUUCGAUGAUACGCGAGGACCUUACCCGGGCUUGAAAGUUAGUGACGGACUUGGAAACAGGUCUUCCCUUCGGGGCACGAACUAGGUGCUGCAUGGUUGUCGUCAGCUCGUGCCGUGAGGUGUCGGGUUAAGUCCCAUACGAGCGCAACCCCUGCUGAUAGUUGCCAUCAGGUUAAGCUGGGCACUCUAUCGGGACUGCUCUGUAAGGAGGAGGAGGGUGGGGAUGACGUCAAAUCAGCACGGCCCUUACGUCCGGGGCACACACGUGUUACAAUGGUAGGUACAGAGGGCCGCCACCCAGCGAUGGGGAGCAAAUCUCAAAGCCUAUCUCAGUUCGGAUUGGAGGCUGAAACUCGCCUCCAUGAAGUUGGAUUCGCUAUAAUCGCGCAUCAGCCAUGGCGCGGUGAAUACGUUCCCGGGCCUUGCACACACCGCCCGU